CAGGACGAACGCUGGCGGCGUGCCUAACACAUGCAAGUCGAGCGAGGAGAUUCCUCGGGAUGAUCCUAGCGGCGGACGGGUGAGUAACACGUGGGCAACCUGCCUCAUAGAGAGGAAUAGGCUUCCGAAAGGGAGAUUAAUACCUCAUAACAUUGCAGUUUCGCAUGGAACAGCAAUUAAAGGAGUAAUCCGCUAUGAGAUGGGGCCCGCGGCGCAUUAGCUAGUUGGUGAGGUAACGGCUCACCAAGGCGACGAUGCGUAGCCGACCUGAGAGGGUGAUCGGCCACAUUGGGACUGAGACACGGCCCAGACUCCUACGGGAGGCAGCAGUGGGGAAUAUUGCACAAUGGGGGAAACCCUGAUGCAAGCAACGCCGCGUGAGUGAUGACGGCCUUCGGGUUGUAAAGCUCUGUCUUCAGGGACGAUAAUGACGGUACCUGAGGAGGAAGCCACGGCUAACUACGUGCCAGCCGCAGC
rnacentral:rRNA from 1 species